CAAGAAGCCAGCGAAACCUUUCGGUUUCGAAAGGUUUCGAUGUGAUGUAGUAUGUGCAUAUAUUGAGUGUACACUGUAUCCAACGGUUAACAAUAAAUAUAUCAGCAACACAUUGUUGCAGUACACAAACAAAACCAUUUCAAGUGAGCAAUAUGAUCGCCGCUUAUGCGCUAAGCUAAGUCAGCAUUCCCACGCUGACCACUUGAAGCAUAUAUAUAUACACACAUAUGUACGUACAUACGGCUCUUGACCUCUCGAUUAUGCUGAUAAGAUAAAUAUGUAUGAAGCCGCUCCGCUGUUGGCGUAACCGGCAGCGCAGCUAUGCGGUCUGAGUUAUAAGAAUAAAUUCAAUAAUGACAUUCUAAAAACCGAAGUCAAACGGCACAGACGUGCCAGUGUUAUAAUUAAAGUAGUGACAUAUUACAUGGCGACCGUGAAAAGUGUCACGAACAUGUAGAUGUUCGGAAACAAAAAUAUAUUUAAAAAAAAAAUACAAUGAGCCGGCACGAGAGCGGACAACAACAGGAGAAUUACCAACAGCAGCUGCAGCAGCAGCAGUAACAUCUAAAAAUUAAAAACGAAACGGAGCGAAACGCACGACAGAAAUACCAAAGUCAAGGAAGACCUGCCCGAACGACUGCGACGGACCUCUAUACUCGCCGCAUUGCGAGUACACCUGUGCAGCCUGCACCGGUGCCCCAACACAGAAGCAGUAGCAGCCUGUGCAGCCAGCACCGGCCUCGUCUAGCACAACAAGCUAGACCCGGAGCAGUGAACCGACAGCGCUUCCUAGAGCGCCCACCGCCAAACAAAAAUUUUUUCUAAAUGCACUGCGAUGCAUAAAAUUUAACUUUAAAAUUUAAAAUUGAAAAAAUUGAGCGGAAUAACAUCUGCCCAAUUAGAGUGAGGCCUGUAAAGCCACACAAGCACUAGGCAGGAAAUAAUGUAAAAAAAAAAAAAAAAAAAUUAAUUUCAAAAAUUAACAAAGAAUUUAUACAGUAGUAUAAAAGAAAAAAAAAGAAAUUUGUUUUGCAUUAAAUUAUAAACAUAUGUCACAAACAAAAAAAAUAAGUAAAUUUGAAGAAAUAUUUGAAAAUUUUGACAAAAUGGGUUUAGUAGAUGUAAAAUCGGUAGAUUCGACAGCGAA